rnacentral:misc_RNA from 1 species
UGGGAUUGUGUCGAUUCCGUAUUUGCAGAAUUGGAUAUACCCUAGUUCGAAUCUUGUUGAAUUGGUUCGUAAUUUGAGUCAUUUUUUUGGAAGGGAUCCUCCGCUUUAUGCCAAAGUACAAGCACAUCCAUCAAACCCUAACCCUAGUCCUAGGCCUACCCCUACCCCUAACCCUCAUCCUCCGCCAAGUACGAGUUUUCCUAAUCACAGCUCGCCAGUCGGGUCAUAUGGGAUUCGGCCUGCGAUACCUCCUCGGCCAGUUCAACAACCACCUUAUGGUGCAGUGAAACAUGAUGAUCCGGAGGAGGUUUUUAAGCGGAACGCGACAGAUAAGCUGCUUGUUGACUUGCAUAAUGAUAUAGUUGGGUUGAGGAAUGCACAGGAGAAGGAUAUGGAUGGGUUGUUUAAUGCUCAGGGAGUGUUGAAGCAGCGGGAGGAGCAGUUGAAACAAGGGUU